rnacentral:snRNA from 1 species
AUACUUACCUGGUAGGGGAGAUACCAUUAAUAUGAAGGGUGGCUUUCCCAGGGGGACAUUUAUCCAUUGCACUCUGGGAUGUGCUCACCCCUGAAAUUUCCCCAAAUGUGGGAAACUUGACUGCAUAAUUUAUGGUAGUGUAGGGGACUGUGUUCAUGUUUUCCCCUG